UCGUCUUGUUGAUUACCUAAG
rnacentral:piRNA from 1 species